AAGUCGUAACAAGGUCUCCGUAGGUGAACCUGCGGAGGGAUCAUUAAUGAGAACUUGCCCUAGCGGGUAGAUCUCCCACCCUUUGUAUUAUCAUACCAUUGUUGCUUUGUCGGGUCCCGUACUCGCUCGGGACCGCCGGGCCCGUCCGGCCUGGGCCAGCGCCCGACCAGGGGAAUCAAAGCUCAUUGUAUUUUUGUUCGUCAGAGUACUAUAUCAAUAGUUAAAA
rnacentral:misc_RNA from 1 species